rnacentral:lncRNA from 1 species
AUUUUCACCGUUUCCAUUUUUGCGUUUAUGACGUUUUCACCGUCUCUUUUUGCUCAAUAUAAUCAUCAUGAAUCGCUUGAUGUUGAUUUGACUCGUUUCUUAUGUGUUCUGAUCAUCAUUGGAAUCUGCUCAGCUGCUCAAAGCGAGCGAAGUCAGAAAUGCUGCCCUUCUUUUUGCUUUUCACCCCUUCCCUUUAGCCUCUUGCUCCUGCUGCGCGAAAAAGGUUUGUAGUGUUUCUACCUUGUAACCGCCCUCUGAUCUGAUCCUUUGUAGCAGACAGCUGCACAGCCUGCAGCUUUUCAGGAUUCCCGCCCGCAAAGACCAUGCCGUUUGGUUUCUCUUUGCCCGUUUUGUUUCUUGACGCUCACGUAAUGGCGCCUCGGUGCAUGCUUUUUCUGCCUGAAAGACAAUACUACCCUUGCAACAUACUACAGUAUACCCACUGCCGUUUGAAUCUGUGAAUUAUUAUGGACUAACGCCGUUAACCUCUCAUGUCUCUUUGCGUGCAGGUCCGUCACCCUCUGCCGCCGUCCCCAUCAUCGCCCCGCCGCCUCCUGCCGCACCUCGCCACACGCUACCGCUGCUGCCGGCGCCGGCACGUGUGUCUGACUUUGCUGCUGCCAGCAAGCCAAAGCGGCAGCCACCAAGAGGACGCAAGUCACUCCGGUAUUAUGGGCAUGCAGGAGCCUACAAAAGUUCUGCCCUCGCCUCCACGGUUGUGGAGCAAUGCCCGUCCUCUGUCCUCCAGGCUGCUGCGUGGGUGUGCUGGAGACCGUGGACAGCGCGGACCGCGGGUCCCUUUGCAGCGUCGCCGAAGAUUUCGAAUUCACCCAAUCCAACAUUACCGUGGAUAUGGUUUGUCGCUUCUACAGGAUAUGCGGGGGCCGCCAGGAGGCCGUUCCCAAGGAUCCGAACAGUUGCACCCAUCUGCCGGCGCGGUCCCCGCCGCCUACCCCUCCGCCCCGCCAGCCGCCGCCGCCGUCGCGGCCUGCUCGACGACGAGGCCUGAAUGGUUGGAGACUGGCCAUCGCCAUGUCUUUGGGCUUGCUGGGCGGCGGUAUAGCAGUAUGGCUGUCAUUAUGGCUCGGGUCUUGGCUGGUGUCCUUUAGCAGGACGCCGGCGACAGGUAUAUUGCUCUGCAGCUUUGCUUGCUUAGUAAUUAGUUUGGGUCAAAAAUAUAUAAUGCAACAAUAAUUAAUUAAACGGGCCGGGGCAUGCAACUAAUCAUUACAUCAAUUCUUUAAUCUGUCUGUGCAGGGAAGUCCACGGGGACAUGAGCAGCGGGGGCCUUUGGCGGAGUUGAUGUGGGCCAGGAGAACGACGUCCCGGAGGCGGUACACGCGUCUGACGCUGGUGGUGGCCUUGCUUCCAUGGACGUACAGGGUCUGCGGUCUCCUGCAGCAGCGCCACUGAUGAUGUUCUCGCCAGGCCACGUCAGGGCCACUGAUGAUGUUCUCGCCAGGCCACGUCAGGGCGCUGGUCAAGGAUGUGUUGGGGCACCUGAGCAAGUGGGCGCCCCCGUGCCAGAACGACCCGCCUCCACCCCACUACAGUUCUUUAGACUUUAUAGGACUCUUCCGAUCUCUUCUUUAUCGAUUGUCUCUAUAUGAUGACCCACCAGAUGAUCUCUUCUUUAUCGAUCGUAUCUCUUUGAUGACCCAUCUGAUGAUCUCUUCUUUAUCAAUCGUCUCUCUAUGAUGACCCACCCGACCUAAUGAUGAGGGUGUCCUGACCACUAUAUGGGUCUGAGGCCAUUGUCUACUAUUAUUGCUUGGGCCCAAGGCCGUGUAUCGAACUCGGCGGAGCCCAUGAACCUUGCUACCGCGGCGGCAUGUGUGGCAGGUAAAAGGACCGACCGUCGAGAGUCGAAGGCAUUGAGUAAAUGAACAGAAAAUCCCAAACUCUACUGUUCCCCUUCUUCCUUCCUCCAAGCCGUCGCCACCACUAGCGUCGCAACUCCGUCUGAAUCUCGCUGGUGCGCCACCGGUGCAGUUAGGACUGUCACAACUGGUACUAGCACUACAGGAAAAUGAGUCGAACCAUCUCGACUCAGGCCGUUAAUCUCGAGAAGUGUCUUGGCCUAUCCAUGAACUCCCCGCACAACGACUACCAGCCCACAACGUACGCCCUCGCCACGCAACAUCGCAACAACGCACGCACACCACCGCUAGCACCCACCGCUAGAAAACAAAACCCACGCUCCCCUUCUUCCCCACUGGCACCAACCUUCUCCAUCCAGAGCCUUCCUCCCCACACACAGUGCCACACAGCGCGCUGAGCUGAGCCCUCCACCCUCGAGCACUAGCAAGGGAGAGAUCCCACCCCGAGCGCCACCCAUGGACCGCCACAAAGCGCACGCUUCAAGCACUCUGAUAAUCUUUCAUGGUUUCAGAGCCUACAUUUAGAUCCAAUCCAAUCAAACCUCCAUGUCAACAUCCUAUUCCACCGUCACCAUAAAGCACACCCAUCUCUACAUGCCGUGGGGCGCCUGCUGCGCAUCGGGGGCGCCCACCUUGCCGCCACCUGCCAUAGUACGUGAUGUCUGCGCCCGCCCGCCCGCUUCCUUCCUCUCUCUCUCUAGGAUCUGCGUCUGUGCCUUGCGCGAGAUGGGUGUGCUUGUCGGCAGGGGAUGGCGACAUAGCUGUACAUGUUGUGCUGCUUUGUGAUUUGCCUCUGGAGCUGUUCGUUGUUGCGAUGGUGUUUCGUUGCGAGUUCCCAUCUUCCACUGUGGUGACGAACCCGUACGUCCGGCCUGUUUCGGAACAUCUUUUAUUCGUUGCCUCUAAUUUCUCUCCAUCGGAUUGGUUCACAUGACAGAAGCGCGACUAGUACAAGCUAGUUGGGUGAGAUGAAUGUACGGGCUCCGUAGGCGCACGUCUCCCGAUUUCGCUGUAGCUUUUCGAUCGUUUUGGUUUGGAAGCGUUAAUUUUGGAGGUGCUGGUUCCGAUUUGUACUUUGUACGUGGGUUUCAGCCAUAAAGUGCCUAAUUAUUUGAACCCCUCCCCCCCCCCCCCCCCCCGCGCCGGUUUAUAAUGUUUUAAUAAUUUGUUCACUGGAAUCUGUUCAAUACCUCAAUAUAAUCGUGAGGCUAGAAUUUCCUACGUUUCUUUUUGCUUUUUCUAUUUUCACUGUUUCCAUUUUUGCGUUUAUGACGUUUUCACCGUCUCUUUUUGCUCAAUAUAAUCAUCAUGAAUCGCUUGAUGUUGAUUUGACUCGUUUCUUAUGUGUUCUGAUCAUCAUUGGAAUCUGCACAGCUGCUCAAAGCGAGCGAGGUCAGAAAUGCUGCUCUUCUUUUUGCUUUUCACCCCUUCCCUUUAGCCUCUUGCUCCUGCUGCGCAAAAAAGGUUAGUAGUGUUUCUACCUUGUAACCGCCCUCUGAUCUGAUCCUUGUAGCAGACAGCUGCACAGCCUGCAGCUUUUCAGGAUUCCCGCCCGCAAAGACCAUGCCGUUUGGUUUCUCUUUGCCCGUUUUGUUUCCUGGCGCUCACGUAUGGCGCCUCGGUGCAUGCUUUUUCUGCCUAAAAGACAAUACUACCCUUGCAACAUACUAUAGUAUAUCCACUGCCGUUUGAAUCUAUGAAUUAUUAUGGACUAACGCCGUUAAC